rnacentral:misc_RNA from 1 species
GCAAACUUGGUCAUUUAGAGGAAGUAAAAGUCGUAACAAGGUUUCCGUAGGUGAACCUGCGGAAGGAUCAUUAACAAUUGUCCACACCAUGGAUAAUUAUAUAUCCAUAUCCAUCUUGUGUGCAUCAUUGAAGCUUUUGUUGGCAGGUUUUCAGGUUCUCUGAGCUUGAUUCGGUUGUAUAGCCAGGCCUGCCAAUUUUAUGUUUAAAACUUGUCUCAAUAUUGCUUGUCUGAAAUUGAUUUAUGAUAAUAAAUACAACUUUCAACAACGGAUCUCUUGGCUCUCGCAUCGAUGAAGAACGCAGC